UGCAUUCUACCCCAUAGAUCUUCAUAAAACUUACUUAAAACAUGUAUUGAGCUUAAGAUCGGCUCUUACCUCGUGGAGAUCGAGAGAGAGACGACCUAAUCUUGGAGAUGGGAGAUUUUCAACUUCCUUGAGUCUCCAAGCUCAAAACUUGCUCAAAACUUGAAAAUCUUCAAAAUAAGAUGAAAACUUGUGAAAAUCGUGAAAGAUUUGAAG
rnacentral:lncRNA from 1 species